rnacentral:rRNA from 1 species
GACAGAGGGUGCGAACGUUGCUCGGAAUUACUGGGCGUAAAGCGUGUGUAGGCGGCCACGCAAGUCGGAUGUGAAAGCCCUGGGCUCAACCCAGGAAGUGCACCCGAUACUGCAUGGCUCGAGUACCGGAGAGGUUGGUGGAAUUCUCGGUGUAGAGGUGGAAUUCGUAGAUAUCGAGAGGAACACCGGUGGCGAAGGCGGCCAACUGGACGAGUACUGACGCUGAGACACGAAAGCGUGGGGAG